GGUAGUUCAAUUGGUAGAGCGGCGGUCUCCAAAACCGUUGGUUGAGGGUUCGAGUCCUUCCCG
rnacentral:tRNA from 1 species